rnacentral:rRNA from 2 species
UACAUGCAAGUCGGACGGGAUCCAUCGGAGAGCUUGCUCGAAGAUGGUGAGAGUGGCGCACGGGUGCGUAACGCGUGAGCAACCUACCUCUAUCAGGGGGAUAGCCUCUCGAAAGAGAGAUUAACACCGCAUAACAUCAACAGUUCGCAUGUUCGGUUGAUUAAAUAUUUAUAGGAUAGAGAUGGGCUCGCGUGACAUUAGCUAGUUGGUAGGGUAACGGCCUACCAAGGCGACGAUGUCUAGGGGCUCUGAGAGGAGAAUCCCCCACACUGGUACUGAGACACGGACCAGACUCCUACGGGAGGCAGCAGUAAGGAAUAUUGGUCAAUGGGCGGAAGCCUGAACCAGCCAUGCCGCGUGCAGGAUGACUGCCCUAUGGGUUGUAAACUGCUUUUGUCCAGGAAUAAACCUAAAUACGUGUAUUUAGCUGAAUGUACUGGAAGAAUAAGGAUCGGCUAACUCCGUGCCAGCAGCCGCGGUAAUACGGAGGAUCCGAGCGUUAUCCGGAUUUAUUGGGUUUAAAGGGUGCGUAGGCGGCCUAUUAAGUCAGGGGUGAAAUACGGUGGCUCAACCAUCGCAGUGCCUUUGAUACUGAUGGGCUUGAAUCCAUUUGAAGUGGGCGGAAUAAGACAAGUAGCGGUGAAAUGCAUAGAUAUGUCUUAGAACUCCGAUUGCGAAGGCAGCUCACUAAGCUGGUAUUGACGCUGAUGCACGAAAGCGUGGGGAUCGAACAGGAUUAGAUACCCUGGUAGUCCACGCCCUAAACGAUGAUAACUCGAUGUUGGCGAUAGACAGCCAGCGUCCCAGCGAA